GACGAACGCUGGCGGCGUGCCUAAUACAUGCAAGUCGAGCGGACGGAUGGGAGCUUGCUCCCAGACCGUCAGCGGCGGACGGGUGAGUAACACGUGGGCAACCUGCCUGUAAGACUGGGAUAACUCCGGGAAACCGGGGCUAAUACCGGAUAACUCUUUCCCUCACAUGAGGGAAAGCUGAAAGAUGGCAUCUCGCUAUCACUUACAGAUGGGCCCGCGGCGCAUUAGCUAGUUGGUGAGGUAACGGCUCACCAAGGCGACGAUGCGUAGCCGACCUGAGAGUGUGAUCGGCCACACUGGGACUGAGACACGGCCCAGACUCCUACGGGAGGCAGCAGUAGGGAAUCUUCCGCAAUGAACGAAAGUCUGACGGAGCAACGCCGCGUGAGUGAUGAAGGUUUUCGGAUCGUAAAACUCUGUUGUCAGGGAAGAACAAGUACCGGAGUAACUGCCGGUACCUUGACGGUACCUGACCAGAAAGCCACGGCUAACUACGUG
rnacentral:rRNA from 1 species